UUGCAAACCUGGCAGCACGCUAGUCCCGUGCAUUCCGCAAACGGACUUCAUGGCGGGCCGAUGGGGAGAGUAAGACUGACCACAAAAUGUCAUUUAUCUGACGUUGAGGUUUUGUCCUUUUCGAUCUCUCUAUGGUGAAUCGGGUGAGGCCUUGAUCGGAGCAACCCUAAGUUAUAGUUUAGAUGCUUAAAGGGUAGCAAGACUGAGGACGAUUUGUGACCUCUUUUUUGUGAUGUUGCGCGAACCCCGGGGUUUGCAC
rnacentral:misc_RNA from 1 species